CCGGGGGAACUGAAACAUCUAAGUACCCCGAGGAAAAGAAAUCAACCGAGAUUCCCCCAGUAGCGGCGAGCGAACGGGGAGCAGCCCAGAGUCUGAAUCAGCUUGUGUGUUAGUGGAACGGUCUGGAAAGUCCGACGGUACAGGGUGAUAGUCCCGUACACCAAAAUGCACAGGUUGUGAACUCGAAGAGUAGGGCGGGACACGUGGUAUCCUGUCUGAAUAUGGGGGGACCAUCCUCCAAGGCUAAAUACUCCUGACUGACCGAUAGUGAACCAGUACCGUGAGGGAAAGGCGAAAAGAACCCCGGCGAGGGGAGUGAAAAAGAACCUGAAACCGUGUACGUACAAGCAGUGGGAGCACCUUCGGGUGUGACUGCGUACCUUUUGUAUAAUGGGUCAGCGACUUAUAUUCUGUAGCAAGGUUAACCGUAUAGGGGAGCCGCAGGGAAACCGAGUCUUAACUGGGCGUUAAGUUGCAGGGUAUAGACCCGAAACCCGGUGAUCUAGCCAUGGGCAGGUUGAAGGUUGGGUAACACUAACUGGAGGACCGAACCGACUAAUGUUGAAAAAUUAGCGGAUGACUUGUGGCUGGGGGUGAAAGGCCAAUCAAACCGGGAGAUAGCUGGUUCUCCCCGAAAGCUAUUUAGGUAGCGCCUCGUGAAUUCAUCUUCGGGGGUAGAGCACUGUUUCGGCUAGGGGGUCAUCCCGACUUACCAACCCGAUGCAAACUACGAAUACCGAAGAAUGUUAUCACGGGAGACACACGGCGGGUGCUAACGUCCGUCGUGAAGAGGGAAACAACCCAGACCGCCAGCUAAGGUCCCAAAGUCAUGGUUAAGUGGGAAACGAUGUGGGAAGGCACAGACAGCCAGGAUGUUGGCUUAGAAGCAGCCAUCAUUUAAAGAAAGCGUAAUAGCUCACUGGUCGAGUCGGCCUGCGCGGAAGAUGUAACGGGGCUAAACCAUGCACCGAAGCUGCGGCAGCGACACUAUGUGUUGUUGGGUAGGGGAGCGUUCUGUAAGCCGUUGAAGGUGGCCUGUGAGGGUUGCUGGAGGUAUCAGAAGUGCGAAUGCUGACAUAAGUAACGAUAAAGCGGGUGAAAAGCCCGCUCGCCGGAAGACCAAGGGUUCCUGUCCAACGUUAAUCGGGGCAGGGUGAGUCGACCCCUAAGGCGAGGCCGAAAGGCGUAGUCGAUGGGAAACAGGUUAAUAUUCCUGUACUUGGUGUUACUGCGAAGGGGGGACGGAGAAGGCUAUGUUAGCCGGGCGACGGUUGUCCCGGUUUAAGCAUGUAGGCUGGUUGUCCAGGCAAAUCCGGAUAAUCAAGGCUGAGGUGUGAUGACGAGGCACUACGGUGCUGAAGUAACAAAUGCCCUGCUUCCAGGAAAAGCCUCUAAGCAUCAGGUAACAUCAAAUCGUACCCCAAACCGACACAGGUGGUCAGGUAGAGAAUACCAAGGCGCUUGAGAGAACUCGGGUGAAGGAACUAGGCAAAAUGGUGCCGUAACUUCGGGAGAAGGCACGCUGGUGUGUAGGUGAAGUCCCUGCGGAUGGAGCUGAGACCAGUCGAAGAUACCAGCUGGCUGCAACUGUUUAUUAAAAACACAGCACUGUGCAAACACGAAAGUGGACGUAUACGGUGUGACGCCUGCCCGGUGCCGGAAGGUUAAUUGAUGGGGUUAUCCGUAAGGAGAAGCUCUUGAUCGAAGCCCCGGUAAACGGCGGCCGUAACUAUAACGGUCCUAAGGUAGCGAAAUUCCUUGUCGGGUAAGUUCCGACCUGCACGAAUGGCGUAAUGAUGGCCAGGCUGUCUCCACCCGAGACUCAGUGAAAUUGAACUCGCUGUGAAGAUGCAGUGUACCCGCGGCAAGACGGAAAGACCCCGUGAACCUUUACUAUAGCUUGACACUGAACAUUGAGCCUUGAUGUGUAGGAUAGGUGGGAGGCUUUGAAGCGUGGACGCCAGUCUGCGUGGAGCCAACCUUGAAAUACCACCCUUUAAUGUUUGAUGUUCUAACGUUGGCCCCUUACCGGGGUUGCGGACAGUGUCUGGUGGGUAGUUUGACUGGGGCGGUCUCCUCCCAAAGCGUAACGGAGGAGCACGAAGGUUAGCUAAUCCUGGUCGGACAUCAGGAGGUUAGUGCAAUGGCAUAAGCUAGCUUGACUGCGAGCGUGACGGCGCGAGCAGGUGCGAAAGCAGGUCAUAGUGAUCCGGUGGUUCUGAAUGGAAGGGCCAUCGCUCAACGGAUAAAAGGUACUCCGGGGAUAACAGGCUGAUACCGCCCAAGAGUUCAUAUCGACGGCGGUGUUUGGCACCUCGAUGUCGGCUCAUCACAUCCUGGGGCUGAAGUAGGUCCCAAGGGUAUGGCUGUUCGCCAUUUAAAGUGGUACGCGAGCUGGGUUUAGAACGUCGUGAGACAGUUCGGUCCCUAUCUGCCGUGGGCG
rnacentral:rRNA from 1 species